rnacentral:rRNA from 1 species
AUGAGUAAAGUGGCGCACGGGUGAGUAACGCGUAGAUGACGUGCCUUUUAGUGGGGGAUAACAUCGGGAAACCGGUGCUAAUACCGCAUAAGCUAGAUGAUAUUGAAAUAGUUUAGAAAGGGGGCUUCGGCUCUCGCUAAGAGAUCGGUCUGCGUGACAUUAGCUUGAUGGUGGGGUAAUGGCCUACCAUGGUUACGAUGUCUAGCUGGUCUGAGAGGAUGAUCAGUCACACUGGAACUGAGACACGGUCCAGACUCC